rnacentral:rRNA from 1 species
UACGGGGGGGGCAAGCGUUGUUCGGAAUUACUGGGCGUAAAGGGCUCGUAGGCGGCCAACUAAGUCAUACGUGAAAUCCCUCGGCUUAACCGGGGAACUGCGUGUGAUACUGGAUGGCUUGAGAUUGGGAGAGGGAUGCGGAAUUCCUGGUGUAGCGGUGAAAUGCGUAGAUAUCUGGAGGAACACCGGUGACGGAGGCGGCAUCCUGGACCAAUACUGACGCUGAGGAGCGAAAGCCAGGGGAGCAAACGGG